UUUCUCUUCAUCAGGUCAUCAUCACAGAUGGAAGGGCUCCGUAUUUCUCUGGUCAUUCUGCUAGUAUCAUGCAAUCAUGAUUGGAUCUCUGGAUCAGUUUUGGAGAGGACAGUCAGAGCAGGAGACAAUGUCACUCUCUACUGUGACUGCAAGUUAUCGACCGGAGUAUUCAUACGGUGGUACAGGAACUGCUCUCAUGAGAACCAGCCGUCUCUCGUCCUUCAAAAUAAAUUGGAACAAACCACAAACAUGGAACACAUACUGCAUCCUCUUCCUCGUUUCCGCUUUGUGAGAAACUUUUCCUCUGACUCCUAUGACCUGCUGAUUAUUAACAUCACUGAGACCGAUGAAGGGCUCUACUACUGUGGAACUGAGCAGAUUAAGGUGGAUUAUAAAGAACACUUUACUUCAAGAAAUGUUUACACAUAUGGCAACAAAACAACAAGGAUCUUUUUCAAAUCCAGCUCAUACCCUGACUCCAGUGAACGCACUUGGAAACCUGAUGUGCUCUGGAUGAUUGUGCUCACUCCAGCCUUUACUAUUCUCUCCUCCUUUAUUUCCUUUAUUCUGGUGUAUCACUUCUGUCAGAAAAUGGGUACUGUUGUCUCACAAUUGGUUUCUCUACUAUUGUUUCAAAUAAAUGAUGUCACAAUUAUUAUUUCUACAUUUAGGAACGCUCUCAUAGUGUACUAUAUUUUCAAAGGCGCAGUCGGUGGUAAUUUGUAAUGAUGUUGUAUUUUAUUUUGCAGAUAAGGAACCUCAAAUUAUCCAGAAAAAACUUGACACCAGGAUUCAAACAAGAUGGGAUCAGGAUGAAGAUUGGUGUUUCACACGAGUUGUGUUCCGAGCGACGGAUAGACAAACACAACAAUCGGCGUAAAUUCAGGCAGAAACAAACUAAAGUGCAAGGAGUUCAGACUCAGAAGGUGAAAGUCAUGUGAUCAGUUUAAGUAUUCAAUCCCUCCUGUUUUUCUUUUCAGUUGUUCUUGCCAAUCUGUUAUCAGACUUUCUCAAGGUCACUUUGUCAUUAUGUUAUGUAUGAGAUCAUGAAGUGAUUGACAUGUUUUAUGAAGAUUGGAUUUAUUGCCAGUUUACUUACAUUGUAAUCACAUGUUCUUACUGAAUUGUAAUUAAUAAGUGUGUGUAAACAAACAAUUAUCAUCAACAAACAAAAACGCUCCUUUCCUUAUUUAUGAAUGUGGUAUCAUUACAUAUAUUUGAAUCGUGAUAAAAAUGAUCAAUAUAAGAAAUAAUAAUAAAUACAUUGAACUGAUAGCAGGAUGAACACUUCAGUAAUCCAGAAAACAGUACAAUUCUAAAUCAUUUUGAUUAAUAUCACAAAGCCUUAUUAAUUCAGGACAUUGCUCUCUUUCUCAUUGGUCUUUGACUGUUGGAUGUGCCAACACAAUAUCUGCAUUCUUUUUCCUUAACUAAGUUGCUGUGACAAAAAUGUAAUGUAACAUUUUACACAAAUUAUCCUUUUUACAAGCCAGGUUACUAUUUUAAUCAAAGUUCUAUUAUAAUGAAUAUGUAUUGUUUUUAACAUUUUGAUACAAUAUAAAAAAACCUAUUAAUUCCACUCUAUGGAGACAAAUCUGAGCCAAAUGAUACAACAACUUUUAAAAUGAGAAGGUACAAACUUCAUAUUGCUUCUGUCUUAAACCCUAUAGAAAUAUUUUAUGUAAAAUUGACACCAUAUCUUAUUAUUUUAAUUAUAUUUACUAAAUUAUUUUCAUCUCUCUAUGCAUACCAUUUACUUUUUCAUUAACUUAACUUUUUCAUUAUAUAUACACUGCCCUGCCAAAAAAAAGCUCACCACCUGGAUUUAACUAAGCAAAUAGGUAUUGGAUAAUUACUGCAUGGGUGAUUAUUUUUCAGCUGGCAACAAGUUAUUUAACCCUAACUGAUGCAGUGAGUAGCUUCUCAUGUGUUAAACAGUCAUGUCGAAAGACAUAUCCUGUGGUCCGGGGAAAAGAUGUUAAUCGUUUCAGAAGGGUCAAAUUAUUGGCAUGCAUCAAGCAGAGAAAACAUCUGUCCAACGCUGAAAACUGGAAGGACAGUGGGGAAAAAUCAUCUUUGAGGAAGGAAUGUGGUCGGAAAAAAAUCUUGAAUGAUCGUGAUUGGCAAUCAAUUAAGCGUUUGGUGAAAUCAAAGCGUAGAAAACAACAGUAGAACUCACGGCUAUGUUUAAAAGUGAAAGUAAGAGCAUUUCCACAUGCACAAUGCGAAGGGAACUCAAGGGAUUGGGACUAAAAAGCUGUGUAGCCGUAAGAAAACCACUUCACAGAGAGGCUAAUUUGAAAAAAACGGCUUGAAUUUGCUAGGGAGCAUAAAGAUUGGACUCUGGAGCAAUGGAAGAAGGUCAUGUGGUCUGAUGAGUCCAGAUUUACCCUGUUCCAGAGUGAUGGGCGCAUCAGGGUAAGAAGAGAGGCGGCUGAAGUGAUGCACCCAUCAUGCCUAGUGCCUACUGUAUAAGCCUGUGGGGGCAGUGCUAUGAUCUGGGGUUGCUGCAGUUGGUCUGGUCUAGGUUCAGCAACGUUAUGUGCCCAAAGAAUGAGGUCAGCUGACUACCUGAAUAUACUGAAGUUAUUCCAUCAAUGGAUUUUUUCUUCCCUGAUGGCACGGGCAUGUUCCACGAUGACAAUGCCAGGAUCCAUCGGGCUAAAGUUGUGAAAGAGUGGUUCAGGGAGAAUGAGACAUCAUUUUCACACAUGGAUUGGCCCCCACAGAGUCCAGACCUGAACCCGAUUGAGAAUCUUUAGGAUGUGCUGGAGAAGACUUUGCGCAAUGGUCCGAAUCUCCCGUCAUCAAUACAACAUCUUGGCGAAAAAUUAAUGCAACUCUGGACAGAAAUACAUGUUGUGACAUUGCAGAAGCUUGUGGAAACGAUACCACAGCGAAUGCGUGCCAUACUCAAAGCUAUAGGCGGUCCAACGAAUAUUAGAGUGUGUGACCUUUUUUUUGGCCAGGCAGUUUAUAUAUAUUAUAUUUGGAUUCACUGUGUUUCUAAUCUAUCAUUCAAGCUUAAGCUUAAGCUACUGCUGAGUCUUUUUCAGAGCAGACUUGAGCUUUGUUUCUUUGUCCAGCUGAGCGUGAAGGGAAGCUGUUGAUUGUUACGUCUCCUCCUGGAGGAUGGUUUCCUCCAGCUCAAAGCGGCGGCGCUCAGUCUGUGAGAGAUGAUGUGCCUUUUUCAGGGCAAUUUGGAGGUUCCUAUUCGCCGCUCUCUCUAUUUGUUUGAUUCUAUAUACUCUAUACAUAUACUGUAUAUUUGUCUCUUUUACUGUUGAUUUUCAUCCAUUAACUGAAAUGACCACAUUUCUUAGAUUUUAUGCGGUAUAAUCUUACAGUCGUCAACAGUAGCAGAAUAUAUAAGUUUAUAUAGUAUAAUCUGCAUUGUUUGAUAAAUGUUUAACGUGGUAACCAAGUAUUUUUAUGGAAAUAAUUUUGGGAACAUGUUCAAAAAUAAAAUGGGAUGGAAUGUG